AUGAAUCAGCUGCAGUUGUGGACAGUGUACCUGUGCGGAUUGCACUUGAUUAACCAACAAUCAACACACAUCAUACAUGCUCCACUGCUGUUUCCCGCUCUACGCCAAGGACUCGGCGAUGUCCAUGGAGAGGCAGUAGGCGAGAGACUGUAUCGUGAUCAUGGGGUUCACACCAACGGCAGUCGGGAGGAGGCUGCCGUCGCAGACGUACAGGCCCUCGGCCUCCCAGCUCUCGCCUCUGCCGUCGACGGCGCCCUCCUUGGGGCUGGAGCCCAUCCGGCAGCUGCCCAUCUGGUGCGCCGAGCAGAGGAGCGCCCACGUGUCCGUGCCCGGCUGCAUCGGGCCCCUCGCCACGGUCACCUCGUCCAGGAACGCCUCCAGGUCCUUGUCCUGCACGCCCUUGCACCGCAGCCGCAGCCCGUCGCUGCGGUGCGUGCCCACCUCGGCCGCGCCGGAGGCCACCAUGAUGCGCAGGGCGCGGCGCAGGCCGUCUCGGAGCUCCUCGAUGUCGCCGCGGCUCGGGCUGUAGUGCACGCGGCCCUCGCCGUACACGCUCCCCGCGGCGUGGUCGCGGACCAGCGCGAACGCGUGCGCGGUGCGCGUGUACCGGCGCAUCCUCUCCUUCAUGUCGCGGCCCGAUUCCCACGGGACCAACGAGGCGAAGGCCCCCGGCCCCAGUGCCGGCGUCUCGAUGAUGGUGCGCUCAGUGACGCGGUGCAUGCUCGUGAUGAUGCCGCCCUCGUAGCACUUGCCGGUGAGCUGGGGCUCCUGGUUCGUGUCCGGGAAGUACCCCCACGCCAUGGACACCGGGUGGAGGUGCAGGUUCCGGCCGACGUGCCGGUUUCUGAGCCCGCUGUUACGGAGCAGCGGCGGCGUCAUGAGCGCCCCGCACGCCGAGAUGGACACCUUGGCCUCGAUGCGCAGCUUCUUGGUGAUGCCGUUGCUCAUGCACGUCGCCACCAGGCCGACGCAUUUCUUGCUCCGGCCGUUCUUGCCGCUAUUGUUCUGGAAGAUGAGGCGCUCGGCCUUGCACCCGGCCAGGAUCACCGCGCCGUGCUCGACGGCGUCGACGAGCCACGUCGUGUCGGUGCCGCGCUUGUCGCCGGUUGGGCACCCCAGGUAGCAGCUCCCGCAGUGGUGGCCCUCUGA
rnacentral:rRNA from 1 species